rnacentral:lncRNA from 1 species
AUUUAAUUUGUUUAACCUCGGGUAAAUAAAGAAAACACUGCACUAUACAAAACAUUGUAGGUUUUCUUCCCGCUAAACAUGAAACAUGACAGAAACGUUUCAAAUGUGCAGUUAUAUUGCACAUAUCACAAAAUAUAUAUAUCACAAAAAUGUGACAUAUCACAAAAGCGUUUUAGAAAUGUUUCAGAAAUGUCUUUAGUGGAUAUCAGUCUUUAUCCAUGGUGCAUACGAGAUUCUUGGUUCUACCCCGUGGCGUCGAGCAUUUCUUUUAUUUCGUAUAACACAACUUGACUAUGACAUACAUUUGUUUGGAUGUGAAAGCGGGAUGAAGAAUAGAUAAGGACAAGGGCUGAAGCGCACAUGUUCCGUUGAAUGAUAUUCACUUCGCUUGUUCCUAGUAAUUUGGAUGCGAAUCUGCUAGGUCAGCCAUCAAUUAUGACCGAAUGAUUGUUGUUCCUUUAUGUAUGCAAGGGCUGAGGAAUGCAUUAUAGAACAAAACCAUUUAAAUUAUUGGUCGACUGAUUUUUUAUAUUCUUAAUCUGAUUUUGUAACAAUUUUUGCCUUCUACAAAAAACUUCCCUAGUUUUCUUUUGCAGAUAUUAUGGGAAUACUGAGCAACUAUAGUCUGUUAUUCUGAGGAAUACUUAUUACUGCUUACUAUUAAUCUUAUCCCUUAAUUAAAAAUUAGCUAUUUAAUACUUUAGUCAUUCAUGUUUGAUAUAAUCAAAAACUUUAAAAUUUUCGAGACCAUGUAAGUAUGAAAAUGCGCCUAUACAAAUUCUGAAUUGAUCUCAAGCCGGGCUCCAGCACAGAUGUUCCAUUGAAGGAGAUUUAUGGCUAUUGUUGCUUGUAAUAUGGUUUCAAAGCUCCACUUUGCACAUUUUUUGGUUGCUGGAUAUGAAGUUCAAUAGGUGGAAGGGAGAUUUAAUGAUGAGGUCUCACGAAAGUAAAAAUCAACCGAACCAGUAUUCAUUUAUGAUGAUCUGAACAAGGUGCUCAUGAUUUGAGAGUGCUUUAUUUCAUUUUUCAUUGACAUUUAUUACACCACUUGUUAAUAUACAGAAGUACUUAACUGAUUUAUCAAAAUGAGUGAUAAUACAUCAUUGGGUUUGCCAGAAGAUGAUGACGAAUCUAUAAAGGAGAUAUACACCAUGGUACCAACCAAUAAUAAACUUUCGGUAAAGUCUAUUGAAGCUAGUGCACUAAAAUAUGUGUCAGGUUAUUUGUAUAAAAAAACCGACAACACACCAACUGAAGAUUGCAGAGACUUUCUAUAUUUUAAAGAAUAUGACGGGACGAGAAGAUUAAGAUAUGUAAGCAAAACCUUUUUAAACAAAAUGUGUUUAGCGUUAUCAAUAAUUAAAUAUAUCUUUUACAGAAAUUUUCAUAAAAGUAACGUAAUUGCCUAUACUUAGGAAAAUUUACAAAACAGAAUAUCAUUUACCGACUGCCCCCAUGAUUUGAAAUUAACGAAAUGAUUUGAAACGAACGAUUUGGAAUUAAUACUGCAAAACGUAUUUAUUUAAACAAUUAUAAAAAAAAUAAAAAGUUCAAGUUAGUUAAGUGAAAUGUAUAUUUACAUCUAUUUUUUAUGGAUUUUCAAACAAAUAAUGUAAUUGCGAAUAUUUUGGAAGCUCUACAAAGCAGAAUUUAUUUUACGGACUGUUCCCAUAGUUUGUAUUACAAAUAUAAAUAUUUAAUUAUUGUAAACAGUUAGGCAAUAUCAUAUAAAGGAUGUAAUUAGAUGUAAGACUUAUUCUUAAAAAUGCUCCAAAGAUUUUUUAUCUGUAAAAAGUAUUUAUGUAAACAAUAAACAACAAGUAAUAUAUCUAUUUAUAUGUAUUUUUGUGUAGUUGUGUCAUUUAUCCCUAUUAUC